GUUACUGCUAUCGGAGUUCGAGUAAGCCAUGCGAGUCUAAAGGUUUCUUUCGGGAAGCCUUGGCGGACUGCUCAGUAACACGUGGAUAACCUACCCUUAGGACUGGGAUAACCCCGGGAAACUGGGGAUAAUACCGGAUAGAUCAAGGAUGCUGGAAUGCACCUUGAUCCAAAGCUCCGGCGCCUAAGGAUGGGUCUGCGGCCUAUCAGGUUGUAGUGGGUGUAACGUACCUACUAGCCGACGACGGGUACGGGUUGUGAGAGCAAGAGCCCGGAGAUGGAUUCUGAGACACGAAUCCAGGCCCUACGGGGUGCAGCAGGCGCGAAACCUUUACAAUGUGCGAAAGCAUGAUAAGGGGACUCCGAGUGCCAGCAUCUAAUGUUGGCUGUCCUUGUGCCUAAAAAGCACAAGAUAGCAAGGGCCGGGUAAGACCGGUGCCAGCCGCCGCGGUAACACCGGCGGCCCGAGUGGUAGCCGCUAUUAUUGGGUCUAAAGGGUCCGUAGCCGGUUCGGUAAGUCCUCUGGGAAAUCUGGUUGCUUAACAAUCAGACUGCCAAGGGAUACUGCUGAACUUGAGACCGGGAGAGGUAAGAGGUACUUCAGGGGUAGGAGUGAAAUCUUGUGAUCCCUGGGGGACCAUCUGUGGCGAAGGCGUCUUACCGGAACGGGUCUGACGGUGAGGGACGAAAGCUGGGGGCGCAAACCGGAUUAGAUACCCGGGUAGUCCCAGCCGUAAACGAUGCUCGCUAUGUGUCAGGUACGGUGCGACCGUAUCUGGUGCCGUAGGGAAGCCGUGAAGCGAGCCACCUGGGAAGUACGGUCGCAAGACUGAAACUUAAAGGAAUUGGCGGGGGAGCACUACAACGGGUGGAGCCUGCGG
rnacentral:rRNA from 1 species